UCCCUGGUUGCUCAGUUGGUAAAGAAUCUGCCUGUAAUGCCGGAGAUUGCCUGCAAUGCAGGAGACCCAGGUUUGAUCCCUGGCUUGGGAA
rnacentral:tRNA from 1 species